rnacentral:rRNA from 1 species
UACGUAUGGAGCGAGCGUUGUCCGGAAUUAUUGGGCGUAAAGGGUACGCAGGCGGUUUAAUAAGUUGAAUGUUAAAGAUUGGGGCUCAACCCCGUAAAGCAUUAGAAACUGAUAAACUUGAGUAGUGGAGAGGAAAGUGGAAUUCCUAGUGUAGUGGUGAAAUACGUAGAUAUUAGGAGGAAUACCAGUAGCGAAGGCGACUUUCUGGACAAAGACUGACGCUCAGGUGCGAAAGCGUGGGAAGCAAACAGG